CUCUCUUUAAAAGAUACAUGUAUGUAGUAGCCUUGAUAACUGACCGGAAUUCUGCUUUGCUAACUGGUCAUCGCUAUCCCCACUAUUUCUUGGAAAUACAUAUGUUCACAAAGAAUGGAAGAUUACACUAGUUCUUGGUUAAAUGGUCAAGAAUAGGGACCUUAUCUGGCCAACUACCGAGGGAGGCGUAUUUUUAUGAAAUACCCAGUAUAUAUCUAUUUCCUCUUUCGAUUGGGUCAGGUCUGUACAGUAAAAAAGAGGACGUGCAUACUAAGGAAUAAGGGAAUGGAAAAUUUAGCAUAGUAUACACAAUAGCGAAGGAGCUCACUCUGUGAGUCACAGGAACCAAAUGUAGGAUUUUUGUCCUCUGUGAUGCGAACGCAACAUGAAUUUAAUGUUCCUCGCUCGCGGCCGCGUCCCACUUCGAGAAUAGAGAAAUCGAGCUUAUCACAGAGAAGGUAAAUUUUGAAGCGACUCAUCGUUGAGUUUACUCACCUCUUCAAAAACCAUUACCCAAUGAUCCCUUCUGUGUGUUUGCAAUAAUCUACUUCAUGGGAUUUUCCGCCUCGCACAAUGGAUACCUUGCAAUUUGUAAUGUGGCAUUAACACUGGAACUACCGACUAUUCUAUGAAGUGUAUAUAAAGAAUAAUAUAUAUUAUAUAAUAAUUAUAAUAUAAAAUAUAUAGUACAGUAUAUAAUUUUU